rnacentral:rRNA from 1 species
AGCGGGAGCCGGGAAUGGAAAGCCCGGUACAAGCGAGGUACCAGUACGGUAGGAAAAUCCGCCGUGCAAUGGGAAGACGUGAUGUGGAGUGAAAUAUAGUAACGAAGCCCGUGAGCCAUGCGUCAAGAAAAGCCGCUAUUGUUUAUACUGUACCCGUACCGUAAACCGACACAGGUGGAUGAGGAGAGAAUCCUAAGGCCGGCGGAAGAAGUAUUGCCAAGGAACUCGGCAAAAUGGCCCCGUAACUUAGGCAGAAGGGGUGCCUGCGAGAGCAGGCCGCAGAGAAUAGGCUCAAGCAACUGUUUAGCAAAAACACAGGUCUAUGCGAAACCGAAAGGUGAGGUAUAUGGGCUGACGCCUGCCCGGUGCUGGAAGGUUAAGAGGAGAGGUUAGACGCAAGUCGAAGCUUUGAAUUUAAGCCCCAGUAAACGGCGGCCGUAACGAUAACGGUCCUAAGGUAGCGAAAUUCCUUGUCGGGUAAGUUCCGACCCGCACGAAAGGCGUAAUGAUUUGAGCGCUGUCUCGGCAAUACAUCCGGUGAAAUUGAAGUGCCAGUGAAGAUGCUGGCUACCCGCGCCAGGACGGAAAGACCCCAUGGAGCUUUACUCCAGUUUGGCACUGGGGUCCGGUGUUGCAUGUACAGGAUAGGUGGGAGGCUGAGAGAUAGUGACGUCAGUUGCUAUGGAGCCGCUGUUGGGAUACCACCCUUGUGAUAUUGGGCUUCUAACCAGCCGCCGUAAACCGGCGGUGGGACAAUGCCAGGCGGGGAGUUUGACUGGGGCGGUCGCCUCCGAAAGGGUAUCGGAGGCGCCCAAAGGUUCCCUCAGAAUGGACGGAAACCAUUCGAAGAGUGCAAAGGCAGAAGGGAGCUUGACUGCGACACCGACGGGUGGAGCAGGUACGAAAGUAGGGCUUAGUGAUCCGGUGGUAUUAAGUGGGAAUGCCAUCGCUCAACGGAUAAAAGCUACCCUGGGAUAACAGGCUUAUCACUCCCAAGAGUUCACAUCGACGGAGUGGUUUGGCACCUCGAUGUCGGCUCAUCGCAUCCUGGGGCUGUAGUAGGUCCCAAGGGUUGGGCUGUUCGCCCAUUAAAGCGGUACGCGAGCUGGGUUCAGAACGUCGUGAGACAGUUCGGUCCCUAUCCGGCGUGGGCGCAGGAUAUCUGAGAGGAGCUGUCCUUAGUACGAGAGGACCGGGAUGGACGGACCGCUGGUGGACCGGUUGGCUUGCCAAAGCCAUGGCCGGGUAGCCAAGUCCGGAAGGGAUAAACGCUGAAGGCAUCUAAGCGUGAAGCCCCCCUCAAGAUGAGAUAUCCCAUUCUUUAAGAAGUAAACCCCCUUGAAGACGACGAGGUAGAUAGGGCAGAGGUGGAAGUGUGGUAACACAUGGAGCUGACUGUUACUAAUCGGGUGAGGGCUUGACCA